rnacentral:rRNA from 1 species
GGGUUGUGAGGUUAAGCGAAUAAGCGUACACGGUGGAUGCCCUGGCAGUCAGAGGCGAUGAAGGACGUGCUAAUCUGCGAUAAGCGUCGGUAAGGUGAUAUGAACCGUUAUAACCG